GUGCUUGCUUUGGCAGCACGAGUACUAAAAUUGGAAUGAUACAGAGAAGAUUAGCAGGGCCCUGCACAAGGAUGACAUGCAAAUUUGUGAAGUGUUCUAUAUUUUC